rnacentral:rRNA from 1 species
AGCGAACGCUGGCGGCAGGCCUAACACAUGCAAGUCGAACGGACUCUUCGGGGUUAGUGGCGGACGGGUGAGUAACACGUGGGAACGUGCCUUUUGGUUCGGAAUACCUCAGGGAAACUUGUGCUAAUACCGAAUGUGCCCUUCGGGGGAAAGAUUUAUCGCCAUUUGAGCGGCCCGCGUCUGAUUCGCCAGUUGGUGAUGUACCGGCUCACCAAGGCGACGAUCAGUAGCUGGUCGGAGAGGAGGACCAGCCACGCUGGGGCUGAGACACGGCCCAGACUCGGAGGGGAGGGAGCAGUGGGGAAUCUUGCGGAAUGGGCGAAAGCGUGACGCAGCCACGCGGGGGGAAUGAGGAAGGUCGUAGGAUUGUAAAAUUGUUUGACCGGGGGCGAUAAUGACGGUACCCGGAGAAGAAGCCCCGGCUAACUUCGUG